rnacentral:lncRNA from 1 species
GUGGAUUUUAGGAGGACUCGGUGCGUGUGAUACGCCUGAUUUGUCUCGAGUCUUUGGCUUAUGUAUUCGUUUUUUAAAUAAGGUGAAUAGUUUUAAACAGAAAAUGAUGGAAGAAUCGGCCGUUACUGUUUGUGUUCGUGUCCGUCCUCUCAUCGCAAGGGAGGAGAAAGCAACUUCAGGGAACCAAGAACCUAUCCAUCAUUUUUGGAAGGCAGAUAAAAAAUCCAUUCAUCAGAUCGAGGAUGGAAUUCUCGCAAAGACGUUUAGUUUCGGUUUGUGAAUGGACAGAUUUAGAAAUGAUUUAAAAGCACUCUGUCGCCUGUUAACUUGUUGUUGUUUCUAUAGAUCGAGUCUUCACUGCUGAAGAAACAACCAUCCAGCUUUAUCAGGAUAUUGCUAAACCACUGGUCGUUUCCUCUGUGGAAGGAUACAAUGGCACUAUAUUUGCUUAUGGACAAACAUCCUCAGGAAAGACAUUUACUAUGAUGGGAGGUGGUGGUGUCCUUGGAGUUAUUCCUCUGGCUGUGGAAGAUGUCUUUGAAAGCAUUAAAACUUUUCUUCUCAGAGUGUCGUAUAUGGAAAUCUACAAUGAGACCGUCACUGAUCUCCUCGUAGACAGCUGGAAGAGAAAACCUCUGGAAGUUCGAGAGAUUUUGGGCUCUAUUUUGACAGGAAAUAAUUUUUACCACAUUAAGCGUUGUUCAAAUAAUUGUAGAUAUAUCUUCAUUUUAGGUUUCUGGAGUAUGCUUACCUUCUUUGCCGUUAAUUUAAUAGUUAGUGCAGAGCGUGUCAGAGCCAUAUACUACAAAAUGGGAUAA